UACGUAGGGUGCAAGCGUUGCUCGGAAUUACUGGGCGUAAAGCGUGCGCAGGCGGUUUUGUAAGUCUGAUGUGAAAUCCCCGGGCUCAACCUGGGAAUUGCAUUGGAGACUGCAAGGCUAGAAUCUGGCAGAGGAGAGUAGAAUUCCACGUGUAGCAGUGAAAUGCGUAGAGAUGUGGAGGAACACCGAUGGCGAAGGCAGCCCCCUGGGUCAAGAUUGACGCUCAUGCACGAAAGCGUGGGGAGCAAACAGG
rnacentral:rRNA from 1 species